GACGUAGGGCGCGAGCGUUGUCCGGAUUUAUUGGGCGUAAAGAGCUCGUAGGCGGCUCGUUGCGUCGGCUGUGAAAACCCGCAGCUCAACUGUGGGCUUGCAGCCGAUACGGGCGGGCUGGGAUUCGGUAGGGGAGACUGGAAUUCCUGGUGUAGCGGUGAAAUGCGCAGAUAUCAGGAGGAACACCGGUGGCGAAGGCGGGUCUCUGGGCCGAUAUCGACGCUGAGGCGCGAAAGCUAGGGGAGCAAACGGG
rnacentral:rRNA from 1 species